CUUCGGUCAUGACGUAAUGGCAGUGGGAAGGAGCAAAAAGGCCAAUGGGCACUUUAUUGCAUUUGUUUAUUUUUGUGGAGCUGGGGCUCUGGCCCAGGGCCUCACUCGUGCUAGGCAAGUGCUCUGCCAUCGAGACACACCCCGGCCCCAACAGGCACUUUAAAGGAAAGGAUUUCCAAAUCUCCAGUAAACGUAAAAAGAUGCUCAGAGUCAUGAGUCAUCAGGGAAAUGCAUGUUGAAACCACACGGAGACAGCCACCCACACCAGGACCGAUAAAAGGAAAAAGACCGAUAAGAGCAAGUGUUGGCGGGAAUGUGAACGACAGGCGCCUCUACCCGCAGCAGUGGAGGCUGUCCACGACCACUUUGGAGGGCUGUUUAUGGUGUUUUUAAACUAUGACCCAAACU
rnacentral:lncRNA from 1 species